rnacentral:tRNA from 1 species
UUAAAAUUAGUUAAAAAUUAAUAAUACUAUUCUUACAAAAUAGAGUUCUGAGGUUCUAUUAGAUUUUAAU